rnacentral:lncRNA from 1 species
GUCAUAUUAAGCCUAUGGUAUGUAUUUAUUUCUCCUAAAUCUCUUGUAAUUUAACUAUGCAUAAGCAUGACCAGUAAUAUUAAGACUAUGCUUGAAGUGCAAACAGAGGAAGAACAUUUUUUUAAAUACAGUACAGAGUUAAGGGAUUAGUACACCUGCCUAUGAAACAGUCACGUGUACGAUGCCUCUCUGGUCAGAUUUUGUAUACAUUCCUCGCCUGUCUCUCUGUCGCGCUGGGCAUGACUUUAGUUUUUGCCCAUACUUGUUUUUCCGCCCGAUCUCGGGCUCCCUAUCUCCUUAUAAAGGCGUUUUUUACGGUCGCGUCCCAAUUCAACAGCCGGAGCAGCGGGACCGUGACCCUGACAACACGGGUUCGAUCGUUCGCGAGGAGCGGUCCAGCUGCAGGAGAUUUGAUGUGCAUGGAAGUUAAUGCCCUCAUCAAGACUGAGUGUCCAGAAGCUUCUGAAACUGGCCCAAACUACAAACAUAUCUACUGUGGAAAACCUGACAAGGAGGAAAUGAAUGUCUGCAAGGGGGAUUCUGGAUCUGGUGUUCUAAAAAAAGAGCAAGUUAAAGGAAUGUUUAAUAAGAAGAAGAUUGUGGACAUUCUGUAUGGUGUUCUUAUCUCUGGACAUGGAGAAUGCGAGGAUAAAUUUGUUUUUUUCUGAUAUCUGUUCUAAUUCAUUAAAGAAGUGGGUAGACACUGUUUUGAAAGACUGAGGUUCACAAAACAAGGUAGACUUAGUAAAUUAUUUGCCAAUUAAAUUAUACAAAUUUGAAAAAAUGUAAAAAAAAAAAAAAUGGGAGGAGUAGUUUGGGAGGGACAGUGGGUGAUGUAUAGGUUUAGUGACAGGGUAGAAGAGAGAGUUGUUUGGGCUGAGUAGUGUGUUUCUGAUUAGUGGUGGGAUGCAGUGGUUUCAUGUCACAAGGGGACGUUAUUAUUGAUUUGACUGGUUUGCAUAUUGUUAGUGUUUGUGAACCAAAGUACGCGGACAUCUUAUACUCACCUGUAGUACAGCUGAACCUGCGAGGGUGCCAGCAGAGGCAUUUCAUUACUUCAAUGGAACACAUUUCUUACAUUAAUGAAAAGUUUUAGUACCUACUAAAUCAGCAGCUUUAUAUGAAAAAAAAAACUCUUAAUAGAACUCUUAAUAGAAAGUAAUGCAAAAAGCCAUUUUGGAGCAUUUCUAUUAGGCUAUUUAUCAUUAGUCCCACUUAAAUAACACUGAACAUGUAAAAAAAAAAGUACAAAAAAAAAACAAAAAACUGAGGGACGUUUUAGAUGUGACAGCAACAACAUUACACUCUUAAAUGAAUAUUUAAUUUGAGAGAUUUGCAGUUUGUCAUGUUUGAGAAAAU